rnacentral:rRNA from 1 species
UACGGGGGGGGCAAGCGUUGUUCGGAAUUACUGGGCGUAAAGGGCUCGUAGGCGGCCAACUCAGUCGGACGUGAAAUCCCUCGGCUUAACCGGGGAACUGCUUCCGAUACUGGAUGGCUUGAGUGUGGGAGAGGGAUGCGGAAUUCCAGGUGUAGCGGUGAAAUGCGUAGAUAUCUGGAGGAAGACCAGUGGCGAAGGCGGGUCUCUGGACAGUUCCUGACGCUGAGGCACGAAGGCCAGGGGAGCAAACGGG